ensembl:lncRNA
GAACUCCUCUUUUGCAAUUUUAACUUUAAAUUAUUUCAGCUAUGGGAAAGAAGUGAUGCUACUACAUUUGCUAUACGUGAGUAAUCAGACCUUUAUUUCGGUUUUAUAUCCCAUCAUAGCUCACAGAAACAGGUAUCAUAGCCCUCAAACCCUGGGCAUUGUCUGCUGUGGGACUUCAGGCAGUACGGCAGAACUGAAGGAGGCUGGUUUUGUUUUAGCGUAUGAUACUUUGUUUUAGUGUAUGACAGUAAACUAAAUAUGAUAACUUAGAUUGGAAAUGUGAUACCCCACACUUUUGGGGGACUAGGUCUGACAUGUCGUGCAGUGUAUGUGACCUGCAUGAAGUGCACAUCAGCAGCCAGGUGGGUACCUGCCGGCAUACUACAUCUCCCAACACCACUCAGAAACCAGGAAGUACAUACAUAUAUAUGUGCAAAAUAUAUGUGUUCGUGGCAAGAGCAAGUAGGAGCAAAAGAUCUACAACUGAGGAUAAUGUUCAACUGUCUAUGGGAAAGUAAGUUUAAACUCCCAUUUGUGUGACCACAAGUUGAUUUUGGCCCCCCCCCCCCACACACACACAAAAUGUUGUGGGUUAUUAAGUUUCCUCCUAGCUGUUAACCUUUGGAGUUCUUAUACAUUAGAUGUCUCAACAAGAAUAUCUGGGCUCCUCCUUUUUUAUUUCAGCACUCAAAAAUAAGCUUUCUGCAAUCUGGAAACCCUUUUUACUUGAUCGUAUUUGUUAUUAUUUAGAGCAGUCCAGACUUCGCCUUUUGUUUGCAUACUGGUACUUCAGAUUGAGGGAGUCAGUAAAAACAGUAUGGUACUGCUUCUAUGACAAAUAUCAGUGCCUUAACAAUGUGGCUGUCUUUUUCCACUGAAAAAGGAAAGACAUUUUGAUCUAGAAACGGCAUUGCUAUUUAUUACUGUUGGUUUCACACUGCCUUCCAAUUUGCAACAGCAACUCAGUGUUUCCUGUGGUCCCAGAAUUUUCAAAGAGGUUGAGCUGAACCUAUAGCUGCACCAUCAGAACAAACCAGUGGUUCUUACAUUUUAAAAUGCCUCAGAAUCACUUGGAGCUUACUGAAAUAUGUAUUCCAGAUAUUUAGUAAAUCUGCCUAUGAAGCAUAAUAAUUCCACAUUUUUAAACAAGCAUUCAGGUAAUUCUGAUGCAAGUGAUCUGGGGGACAUACAUGGAGAAACACUGCCCAAGACCAUAUAUCACAUUUUUGUUCCUAAAUACCUAUGGAGUUUUCUAGGGUUUUAAGUCAUGCAAAAUGUUUACUUAUUCUGAGCUUAGAGAUAAUGGGGAAGGUAUUUUGAAGUUUUGUUUUAUUUCUUUAAAUUUUUCUUUGUUCCAGGAUUAUGGGUAUUAGUUGUUUACAUUUAUCUUGAGUUAUCUUUGAUGUUAAGUUAAAUCUGUUGCCACUUCAGUUAUAAAACCAGCCAAAAUUUCCAGAUGAAGGUCAGGUUUGACCCUUUCAGAGUUAUUGUACAUAAAGGCUUCAUCCAAAAACCAUCCAGUAUACGUGAGCAAAUACAGAAAUGACACACAAGCACAACUCUCCAGAUGUGGCAGUCCUUUUUCUUUGUCGGUGUGCAAACUUUCACUGAAAGCUGCUAUUUUCAUCCUCCUUGUGAUUGUUUUAUCUUACUUCUCCAUCGUACAUGUGGGUUAUAUACCAUGUGUUAAAUAUGCAAUAAAGUGUUUACUGGAUGCCCUUCUGAAGGGUAGUCCUUUGUAAAGCUGUACAGACUUUGCAGUUUAAGCACAAUGUGCACAUGUUAGUUUUAUAUACAGCAAAACUUGAUUUUUUGCAGAUGGAAAGGUAUUUUGUUUCUAUACAAAGUCAAUGGAUUGUUUGUGCUUAAUGUAAAGCUGCUUUAUAAAGUUGUAAAAUAAAGUUUUUAUCUUAAAA